rnacentral:tRNA from 1 species
GGCCUCGUGGUCUAGUGGUAUGAUUCUCGCUUCGGGUGCGAGAGGUCCCGGUUCGAUUCCCGGUGAGGCCC